rnacentral:rRNA from 1 species
AGUGAACGCUGGCGGUAGGCCUAACACAUGCAAGUCGAACGGCAGCACAGUAAGAGCUUGCUCCUACGGGUGGCGAGUGGCGGACGGGUGAGGAAUACAUCGGAAUCUACUUUUUCGUGGGGGAUAACGUAGGGAAACUUACGCUAAUACCGCAUACGACCUACGGGUGAAAGCAGGGGAUCUUCGGACCUUGCGCGAUUGAAUGAGCCGAUGUCGGAUUAGCUAGUUGGCGGGGUAAAGGCCCACCAAGGCGACGAUCCGUAGCUGGUCUGAGAGGAUGAUCAGCCACACUGGAGCUGAGACACGGUCCAGACUCCUACGGGAGGCAGCAGUGGGGAAUAUUGGACAAUGGGCGCAAGCCUGAUCCAGCCAUACCGCGUGGGUGAAGAAGGCCUUCGGGUUGUAAAGCCCCUUUGUUGGGAAAGAAAAGCAGCAGGUUAAUACCCCGCUGUUCUGACGGUACCCAAAGAAUAAGCACCGGCUAACUUCGUG